GCGCUCUCUUCUCUGCAAACCAUGCUUGCCAAAGGCAAAGGCUCAGUGGUGCCCUCAGACGGGCAGGCUCGGGAAAAAUUAGCUUUAUAUGUCUACGAAUAUUUACUGCACGUAGGAGCACAGAAAUCUGCACAGACCUUCUUAUCAGAGAUUCGAUGGGAAAAAAACAUCACACUGGGAGAACCGCCUGGGUUUUUGCACUCCUGGUGGUGUGUAUUUUGGGACCUUUACUGUGCAGCUCCUGAAAUGAGAGACACUUGUGAACAUUUGAGUGAAGCAAAAGACUUUCAUGAUUACAGUGCAGCAGCUGCCCUGAGCCCUGUGCUUGGCAACAUUUCUCCCAAUGAUGGGAUGCCUGGAGGCCCCAUCCCACCGGGUUUCUUUCAGGGAGGAGUUCCUGGGACACAGCCAUUGCUGCCUAAUUCCAUGGAUCCCACCUGACAACAAGGCCACCCCAACACGGGAGGAUCAAUGCAGACAAUGAACCCUCCCGGAGACAUGGGGCCUAUGGGUCCUGGGCCACAGAAUUAAGGCAGCAGCGGCAUGAGACCACCACCCAACUCCCUCGCCCCACCAUGCCCGGGAUUAACAUGGGCCCAGGAGCUGGCAGACCCUGGCCCAAUCCCAACAGUGCUAACUCAAUUCCAUAUUGA